GACGAACGCUGCCUUGCGUGCUUAACACAUGCAAGUCGAACGGAAAGGCCCUGCUUUUGUGGGGUGCUCGAGUGGCGAACGGGUGAGUAACACGUGAGUAACCUGCCCUUGACUUUGGGAUAACUUCAGGAAACUGGGGCUAAUACCGGAUAGGAGCUCCUGCUGCAUGGUGGGGGUUGGAAAGUUUCGGCGGUUGGGGAUGGACUCGCGGCUUAUCAGCUUGUUGGUGGGGUAGUGGCUUACCAAGGCUUUGACGGGUAGCCGGCCUGAGAGGGUGACCGGCCACAUUGGGACUGAGAUACGGCCCAGACUCCUACGGGAGGCAGCAGUGGGGAAUAUUGCACAAUGGGCGGAAGCCUGAUGCAGCAACGCCGCGUGCGGGAUGACGGCCUUCGGGUUGUAAACCGCUUUCGCCUGUGACGAAGCGUGAGUGACGGUAAUGGGUAAAGAAGCACCGGCUAACUACGUGCCAGCAGCCGCGGUGAUACGUAGGGUGCGAGCGUUGUCCGGAUUUAUUGGGCGUAAAGGGCUCGUAGGUGGUUGAUCGCGUCGGAAGUGUAAUCUUGGGGCUUAACCCUGAGCGUGCUUUCGAUACGGGUUGACUUGAGGAAGGUAGGGGAGAAUGGAAUUCCUGGUGGAGCGGUGGAAUGCGCAGAUAUCAGGAGGAACACCAGUGGCGAAGGCGGUUCUCUGGGCCUUUCCUGACGCUGAGGAGCGAAAGCGUGGGGAGCGAACAGGCUUAGAUACCCUGGUAGUCCACGCUGUAAACGGUGGGUACUAGGUGUGGGGUCCAUUCCACGGGUUCCGUGCCGUAGCUAACGCUUUAAGUACCCCGCCUGGGGAGUACGGCCGCAAGGCUAAAACUCAAAGGAAUUGACGGGGCCCCGCACAAGCGGCGGAGCAUGCGGAUUAAUUCGAUGCAACGCGUAGAACCUUACCUGGGUUUGACAUGGAUCGGGAGCGCUCAGAGAUGGGUGUGCCUCUUUUGGGGUCGGUUCACAGGUGGUGCAUGGCUGUCGUCAGCUCGUGUCGUGAGAUGUUGGGUUAAGUCCCGCAACGAGCGCAACCCUUGUUCACUGUUGCCAGCACGUUAUGGUGGGGACUCAGUGGAGACCGCCGGGGUCAACUCGGAGGAAGGUGGGGAUGACGUCAAGUCAUCAUGCCCCUUAUGUCCAGGGCUUCACGCAUGCUACAAUGGCUGGUACAGAGAGUGGCGAGCCUGUGAGGGUGAGCGAAUCUCGGAAAGCCGGUCUCAGUUCGGAUUGGGGUCUGCAACUCGACCUCAUGAAGUCGGAGUCGCUAGUAAUCGCAGAUCAGCAACGCUGCGGUGAAUACGUUCCCGGGGCU
rnacentral:rRNA from 1 species